rnacentral:misc_RNA from 1 species
GGAGAAGAAGAAGAAAAAGAAGGACAGAGAUGUUGAAGAAGUGUAGACCUUUAUUCCAGAGCAUUUUUGUUUCGAGGGGGUAUAACUAAAUGUGUGCUUAUGUUAACUUUAUUGCACAAGCAAUGUUAAUUUGGUAGUUUCUUUAAUCUUUUUAAUGCAGUUUCAGUGGAAUCAUUUCCAUGUCCUUGUUCUGCACAAUAUACAGUUUCUUUGGUUGAAUUGUUGUUGUGGUCAGCAAUUCAGCAUUGGUUUUCAUUCCUCUUUGCGUUGAAAUUUUGUGGCAAUAGUUUUUCCUGCAACAUUUGCCGAACAAACAUAUUUUUUUAAUUCUUCAUCAUAGAUGAAUAGAUUACGUCCGAAAUUUC